rnacentral:rRNA from 1 species
UGGGGAAUUUUGGACAAUGGGCGCAAGCCUGAUCCAGCAAUGCCGCGUGCAGGAUGAAGGCCUUCGGGUUGUAAACUGCUUUUGUACGGAGCGAAAAGGUCUGCCCUAAUACGGUGGGCUCAUGACGGUACCGUAAGAAUAAGCACCGGCUAACUACGUGCCAGCAGCCGCGGUAAUACGUAGGGUGCGAGCGUUAAUCGGAAUUACCGGGCGUAAAGCGUGCGCAGGCGGUUAUAUAAGACAGAGGUGAAAUCCCCGGGCUCAACCUGGGAACUGCCUUUGUGACUGCAUAGCUGGAGUACGGUAGAGGGGGAUGGAAUUCCGCGUGUAGCAGUGAAAUGCGUAGAUAUGCGGAGGAACACCGAUGGCGAAGGCAAUCCCCUGGACCUGUACUGACGCUCAUGCACGAAAGCGUGGGGAGCAAACA